rnacentral:snRNA from 1 species
AUCGCUUCUCGGCCUUUUGGCUAAGAUCAAGUGUAGAAGUCAUUCUGUUUCUUCACAAUGACUUUGCUUUUUUUUGUUCUCAUUUAUUAGUUACUGUUACCGUAGAAAUUUCAUAGAUCAGUUUAAUUUCUAGGUGUUUGGACAACCCUAC